rnacentral:lncRNA from 1 species
UUUUUCCUUUCUUUCUUUCUUUCUUUCUUUCUUUCUUUCUUUUUAACAAGAACUAAAAUAAGAAAUAGAAAAGCUGUUUUUUCAGGCUGACGGUCCUGUUGAGGGUAGCGGAGACCUUGCAUGAUAGAGUAGGCGUCAUAGUGUCAAGUGAGGUCGGUGAGUCUGUGUGCGUCCUGUGUCAUCAGUCAGGCACUGUUCUGGUUUGUUUGUUUUGUUUUUUACUUUCUGGUUUUGUUUUCUGGUUUUGUUUUUUGUUUUUUCAUGCAAGGGCAAAAAAAAAAAUCUUUGUACCUGGGGAAAACAACUUUUUUUUUAUUAAAAAGGAAAAUAAAAGAUAUUGAGGUCUUCCUAGUGUUACUUAAAUUAAGAUCAAGGUAAGAAACAUUGUAAAAAUUACAAAAGUGCUAUUUGUUUCCUAAAAACAGUGAUUUUUAUUAAAAAGGUGUCAGAACUGG